rnacentral:pre_miRNA from 1 species
AAGAUACUCCCUCCGUCCCAAGAUCCUUGUCUUACAUUUGUCUAGAUACGGAUGUAUCUAAUACUAAAACAUGACUUGAUACAUCCGUAUCUAGACAAAUCUAAGACAAGAAUUUUGGGACGGAGGGAGUAUAAU